GCGGGCAGGGCCGGCCGGCGGAGCGCCGCCGCCGACGCACAAGAGGUGACCAGGCAUUGAUGCACCCCCAGGGAGACCACGCGCUCAAGGAGGCCACCCCCACUGGCUGCUGCUCACAUGGUUUCUGGUCCCCUGGCACUCCGGUGGUGUGCGUGGGCAGGGCGUGGGGACAUGGGGCCCGACAUGGAACUGCCCAGCCACUCAAAGCAGCUCCUGCUGCAGCUGAACCAGCAGAGGACGAAGGGUUUCCUAUGUGAUGUCAUUAUUAUGGUGGAGAACUCCAUCUUCCGGGCCCACAAGAAUGUCCUGGCUGCCAGCAGCAUCUACUUCAAGUCUCUGGUCUUACACGACAACCUCAUCAACCUGGACACGGACAUGGUCAGCUCCACAGUGUUCCAGCAGAUCCUGGACUUCAUUUACACAGGCAAGCUGCUGCCCAGUGACCAGCCGGCCGAGCCCAAUUUCAGCACUCUCCUCACUGCCGCCAGCUACCUCCAGCUGCCCGAGUUGGCAGCCCUCUGCCGCCGCAAACUCAAGCGUGCUGGCAAGCCCUUUGGCUCUGGACGCGUGGGGACUGCCGGUAUGGGGCGGCCCCCCCGCAACCAGCGACUUUCCACAGCCUCUGUAAUCCAGGCUCGCUAUCCAGGGCUUGUCGAUGGGCGUAAGGGGACCCAUACCCCCCAGGAGCUCUCCCAGGCCAAAGGCUCCGAUGAUGAGCUUUUCCUCAGCGGUUCUAACCAAGAGAGCACACACGGCCUGGGCCGGGCUGUCUGUCCAGCCACUGGGGAGGCUGGCCUGGGCAGCUGCAGUACCAAUGGGAGCAGUGGGGGAUGUGAGCAGGAGCUGGGUCUAGAUCUGUCCAAGAAGAGCCCCCCACUACCUCCUACCACCCCUGGUCCUCCUCUAACUCCUGAUGACCCGGCCCAACUGAGUGACAGUCAGCACGACUCACCUCUCUCAGCCUCUGCCCCUCCUGUUGCCAAUAGUGCCUCUUAUGCUGAGCUUGGGGGCACCCCCAAUGAGCCAAUGGAUCUGGAGGGGGUGGAGGACAACCACUUGAGCCUGCUGGAGGGGCCUGGUGGGCAACCUCGGAAGAGCCUGCGGCACUCGGCCCGCAAAAAAGAGUGGAGCAAGAAGGAGACUGUGUCAGGUUCCCCCUUUGAGCGAAGGGAAGGGGGACCCAAGGGUCCGUGCCCAGGGGAAGAAGGAGAGGGGCUUGGGGACAGGGUUCCCAAUGGUAUCCUGGCCAGCAGUGUCAGAGGGGCUGGCCCCAGUGGGCCCUAUGGAGAGCCUGCAUACCCCUGCAAGGAGGAAGAGGAGAAUGGCAAGGAUGGGAGCGAGGACAGUGGGCAGAGUGGGAGUGAGGGUGGCAGUGGCCACACGAGCACCCACUAUGUAUACCGGCAGGAGGGCUAUGAGACCGUGUCUUAUGGGGACAACCUGUACGUGUGCAUCCCUUGCGCCAAAGGCUUCCCCAGCUCCGAGCAGCUCAAUGCCCAUGUUGAGACACAUACGGAAGAGGAGCUGUUUAUCAAGGAGGAGGGAGCCUAUGAGACAGGUAGUGGGGGUGCCGAGGAGGAGGCUGAGGACUUGUCAGCACCCAGUGCGGCCUACACGACUGAGCCCCGGCCCUUCAAGUGCUCAGUCUGUGAGAAGACCUACAAGGACCCGGCCACGCUGCGGCAACAUGAGAAGACACAUUGGCUGACACGGCCCUUCCCCUGCAACAUCUGUGGCAAGAUGUUCACACAGCGUGGCACCAUGACACGCCAUAUGCGCAGUCACCUGGGCCUGAAGCCUUUUGCCUGUGAUGAGUGUGGCAUGCGCUUUACCCGCCAGUACCGCCUCACUGAGCACAUGCGUGUGCAUUCAGGUGAGAAGCCCUACGAGUGCCAGCUCUGUGGGGGCAAGUUCACCCAGCAACGUAACCUCAUUAGCCACCUGCGCAUGCAUACCUCCCCCUCCUAGAAGCCAAAGACCCUUCUCCCCCACCCCAGGGCACUUCUGCAGACUUGCCCUUGGGAACCAAUGGAAGGAAGAAGCAAGGAGGCUAGGCAGGUGGGACUGGAGGCUGGGCAGGCGGGACCGGAACCCCGCAGUCCAGCAGGGGUGGCUCCUGGUGGCACCUCCGGCCUGCCCCCCAACACCCAGAGCUUUAAUCAACAGUCUGUACCAAGGGAAGAGAGGAGGAAAGCAGCAGGCACAAGUCCCACAUGUGCGUCACAGGUGUCCGGUCUACCUCCCUACACCACCCAGGCCCCUGGCUUUCUGCAAGGACACCCACAGGAGUGGGUCAUGGGGUCUCCCUGGGACCUAACCCCUUCCCCACAGGAAAGUGGGGCCCUCCCUCUGCUGGGAGCCAGGGGUGGUGUUCGUGUGUGCACGAGUGCUUGUUUAUGUUCCGGAGGCCCUGGUUCUGCAGGAGUGGUGCUGGAGGGGGGCACAGAGCUGUCCUUUAGCCAGGGGCCUCAUUGCCUACCUCUCCUUAAAGAGCCCUCUGGGCCUCUGUUGCUGUUAUUCCUACUGAUCUGAUCCUUUUUUCUUUUUGAAUUUUGUUUUUUAAACCAAAACCAACAAGAGUUGAUUUUCCUACCAGCCCUUCGGGUUGAGCUUGGGUCUGCAGACUGAAUGUACAGGGGCAGCCGCCCCUCCCCCACCCCCUGGCUGCGGGCUGCUGGGUGCCCAUCCCUUUAAGGCCCCAGAAGCCCUUCUUGCCCAAAGGCUUCCCUGGGCCCCGAGCCCUGCCUCGGCUGCCUCAGGAGAGAGAGUGCUUUUCCUAUAGUUUUCUGAGGAACAUGCUUUGUUUAGAGGUACUUGUUUUUUAUUAAGAGAAAAAACAGUGUAACGUUUAUGUGAAUGUUUGAACUGGAAGGUCUGGGUUCGUGGGGGGCGGGGGGGAGGCUGGAAUGAUGCCAGAGCUGUCGGUACUCUUGUUUUUCAUUUUCCAUGUUGUGCGUGUGUGGUGUGUGAACAGAUGUUGCGCUUUCCUUCCUUCCUUACUGAUCAAGGUGGAGAGACUUCUGACCUUUUGCUACCUCUUGAAUUCACGAGAACAGUGCGUUGGUGACUGGCAGUUGAGGCCAAGACACUUUUGUUUUCCUCCUGUUAGUAGGCACAGGAAGGCAUGUGUUUGAGUGAGCUAGACCAGGACCAGCUAAGGCAGCCCUCCUGUGCUCAGCCAAGGUGCAGUCCUGGGCCCUGGUGCUCUUGAAGGGUGCUUCUGCCGUUGUGAGUCUCUGGGCUUGCAUGUACGUUUUCUCUGUGUGUUCUGAGUGUGCUGCUGAACUCCAGGGAGUUUGCAGAAGCCUCUGAUCUGGGUCCAGGUUUGGAGGAUGAAUGAUCUACCCCCGUUGAAGCGCCUGGUAUGGCUCUAGGUGCCUACUAGGCACCCAGCAGUUGUGAGCCAUGCUCCUUGCAGCUCCCUGCCAGGACCAGGAUGAGGUGGAAGUGAGCCCCCCCCAUCCUGUCCCCUGGGCCUGUAGGAGCUUGAGCUUGGGAGAGCAGCAACUCCAGCCUGGCCAGUGUAGAGGCUUAGGGAGGGACUGACCAAAGUAUUGUAUACUCCCUGGGGGAUAGGGAAGGGACCUGCCUUGCUUUGGCUCCUCUCUGGUUGGCCCUGGCCCACAACCAGCUGCUCUGGUAAGAGGCUGGCAUCCACCCAUUGCUCAGCCCUGUUUGGGGUCCCCACCCUUUGUCCCUCACUUGGGCUUUCUCUGCUAGCCUCAGACACCUCACAGGCCCAUUGCUGGGCUCUCAAGGCCAGACCAAGUUUGUCACGGUUGGUCCCACUGUCCUCGACUGACUGGAGCCACAAGGCUGGGCCAGCAACUUUAUCUACUUUAUUAUCUGCUUUAUUUGCUUCGUGCUUUUAUUUGUUUUUUGCUUUUCUACUUUAAGUUCAGACCAAAAAAUUCUGGAGUCACCCCCUGUUCCCAUCCCUCCACCCACCCCUCCAGAGACACUCUAGCUGAAAACAGAGCCUGAGUUCAGGGACCCUGAGUGGUGGAUGGUGUGUUUGGGAGUGAUCUGGCUCCUCUGCCCUUUGGGUGGGAAACAGAACUGAACCCAGGGUCUUGUAUUCCAGGAAGUUAGACUGAGAAUCUGGGCCAGGGAAGUCCCCCACUUGUUUCAGGCCCCUCUGCUCUCCUGACCCCACCCCACUCUGUCAGCACUUAAGCUACAUGACACAAAGUCUGUACCGCACAGGAAUCGUACACUCGCCCACCCUGUGCAUAACCUCCUGGGCCAUGGGCAGCCACCACCUGGAGGUGACUUGUGAAAGUACGUGACUCAUUUGCAGAGCUUCAGGGACUGGGCGCAAAGGCCCCCUCACUCAGCGGCAUUUGUGCGACAUAGUAUUGUACCCACCUGAGUAUUGUAUCGAGCCUUUUCUGUAUUUUAACAAGAAAGCAAAACACUAGUUUCCUAUUUAAAAUUUUAAGGGUUUGUGGGGCGGGGUGGGAUUAACACAACACUUGGUUUUGUUUUCUUUUUCCUUUGAUUUCAUGUUGAAUGUGUGCUUGUGAGUGUGUAUGUGGCGAUGUGUUAAGAGCCUCACAAGUAAAUUAGGCCAUUGGAGGCCAAGGGCGGCUUACAGUUCUCUGCUUUAGCCACUUAAUUCCUGAAUGUUUCGGAGAAACAGGAAACAGAAAAUAGCAGAUGUCAUGUAGGAAAGAGGAUAAACAAAAAAAAGAAAAAAGAAAAAAAAAGAAAAAAAAAAAAAAAAAAAAGAAAGCUCAUAUCCAAAUUCACAAAACCUAUUUUUUAAACCAAAGCACAUUUUGAAUGAGUAUGGAACCUCAAUGGGCUCAGAAAAAGAUACUAAUAUAUUUAUCUCAUUGUUUACAUAAACUUUUACAGUUUCAGACCUCAGCAGCUGUAAGGCCAGUCCCAGUGAAUCCCCACCUUCUGCCAGAGGCCUUUCUGAAUUGGCCCUGAAGUGGCUCAUGGACAGGGGGGACCUAUGGGGUUGGUGCAGGAGUGGAGGCCCCUGGAUUCACCUGAGCCCUUUCAUUUAGCCCUGGGCCUCUCCAAGCCCACCUGGCACCAAAGAGCUUGGGGCCUGUGUUGAUCAGCCCUCAGGUCUUCUGGCUGGACUGUGGUGGUCCUGACUGGCUGGCACAGCAGGGGGUAGCAAUUGGCUCUGGCCACAGGACCCACCUGGGCUUGGGCCCCUGGAUGGAACCAAGCCCCUUCUGCUGCUCUGCCUGGGACUCUUGGGGUGGGUUGAUGUGAGGGUCCCUCUCAAGCCAAAAAACUGGGACCUUUGCACAGCUCCCUAUUGAUUCCAGCAGUUCCCCAUCCCCACUCCUGGCAGUGGGAGGGACUGACUGGGCUGGUCCUUAUCAACACAGAAGGUGCAAACACUCUGAACAGUGUUGUUUUUGUAUCAAUAUGUUUGUGCAGUGAUGAAUGUAUUUAUUUCUCAGACUUGGGGCGGGGGAGCUGCAGGCUGGCCUCCGCCAUGGCAUGCUCCCGCCAGACCGAGCCAUUGUUAGGGCUCCUCCAGGAUUGCAAGAAAAAAAAAAAAAAAAGAAAAAAAAAAAAGAAAAGAUGAACCUUUAAAGCAAAUAAUCUCAGAGACUCAUAGCAUAGCCAUACACCUCAGCCUGUGAAACGAACAAUGAACAAUCCGGACCCAGACUGACCUUCAGGACCUCAUGCAGUCUUGUGUGUUUCCCGUUAUCACCACUUGGGGUGCUGGACUGUCCCACCCCCAUCCCCUGUCUGUCAGUAUUCACUGGACUCACCGUGUGCAGGAGUGCGAUCUGGCCUGGGUGGGCUGAGCGGGCAGACCCCGGCUGCCUCCCGCACAGCCAUCCUGAGUUGGGGUGAGGCCUGGGCAGCCAGGAGGACAGGGCCCAAGGAAGAGGUGACUGCAUACAUCUGGUCCCCUUGGCCUGGGGGACAAAAGCAGAGGCUUCAGCCCUUAUGAGGACCGAACAGCCCUGCUGCGCACCCUGAAGGGACCAAGGCCCUGGCUGUUCCCUGAUUUGUGUUGGGGCAGGUGAUACUGAACCUGUGAAUCCAGUGCCAGGAGUGAGGGGAUGGAAGGGAUACCUAACCAGAACCUCAGUCUGACAUUCCAAAUUGGGGUGGGUGUGAGCUGUGGGAAUUAAGGCUGCCCAGGACCCCCUUCUAAGGACACCGGCUUUAGUCAUCCCACUUUAAGUUUCUACCGGGAAUCCCUCCCCCUACCUCACCUUGCUAUUUAUUGCUGUAAUUUAUUGACCUCAAAAAUGCUGCAUAACAGACCUCACUCAGGGUAGGGAGGAUCCCCAGGGCUCCCCUUCCCCACUUGGUGGGGCCCUGUGGGGCCAGGUGCUGAGGGGAACCUCUCUACCCCACCCAUCACUUGCUUUCCCCUUCCCCUCUUUGGGGGACCCCAGGUUGGGCACUGACCCAUUUGCAAAUACCUCAAAGGGGAGGGGGAGGGAUGGGGCUAUAACAUUUUGUUUAAUCAGAACUGGAAGAGGGAUCAUGUCCUACUUUUUGCCCUUCCCAGAAAGGGGGAGGGACACUGAUCGCACUCCUGUACUGGCCACCGCCACUAUCAGUCAUCACUUUGAGUUCACUUCCCUCGAGAGUUUGGAUAAAUUCAGGUCAGAGCUGCACCUAUGCAGCCUCAAGUGUCAUAGAAAAGCAAUUCACCGACGACUGAUCUCUCCAUUCAGAAGUGUGCAGUCUUAAUGUACAGUGAUGAGAAACUGUUAUUUUAUGAUCUUUUCAUUAAAAGCUUGAUUGAAAACUAUCUUGUGUGGGGUCUUUGUUCUGUGGCUGUUUUUGCUUGCUAAGUGACAGGCACUUCCUUGCCCAUUGCUUCCAAGACCUAGAAGUGGGGAGCUGGGAUAGACAUCAACCCACCACUGUCCUAAGGGUUUCAGGUGGGACUGGGACUUCACUUGGUAGUGAGUGUGCAUCCCUGAGGUUGGUCACUGUAUGAGGGAACCAACACUUGUGUCAGCAUCCUGAGUAUUGGCCUGAGUUGGUCAAGGCAGUUUAGGAAGCAGCAGGUAUAGUCAGGGGCUUUGACCUGGUAACCCAGGUGAGGGUCUGACUUCUACCCAGGGCUACCCACUCAUUAGGGUAGGGAUGGCUCUCCUGUCCACUGCUCUCUCAUGUUGCUUGGUCUACUGGUGGAGAGGGAGAGGAGGAAAGAGAGAAUCUUUAUCUCUCUAGUCAGGGGGUAUUAGUCAGUCCUGAUGGUUAGGGUGGGAUUUCCAGAGUGAAGAAAGACCCAGGAGAAGGAACAGGGGUGGGGCCAGUCAACUAACACCCCUGACUGGUCAACUGCAGAUGUCCCAGUGGCUCCAGGGCAACAGCAGAUGAGACUGGUGACUCCAUACUUCCAGAAGAACGUGGGUAUUGAUGCUCUAAAUCUUGAUUUACAAAGGGGCCUUCCUGGUGGCGCAAGGGGUUAAGCACAACACAAGGAAGCAAUCCUCAGCCACUGCAGCAACCCACAUGGAGAAGGAGACCUCUCCUGUCUCACCCGUUGCUCCCCUCAGCAGUGUAUUUCAGUCAGUCUGCCUGUUCUGCGCCCUACUCUGUCUCUGGCAAAUCCUCUCAUCCCCUGCACCUCUGGCCUAUACCCCAGUUCUUGUAUGCAUAAAUAAUAAAUAUA